CACAAAGGUUUGGUCCUAACCAUAUAAUCAGUUUUUACUUGACCUACACAUGCAAGUCUCCGCACCCCUGUGAAAAAGCCCUUAAAUCCUAGUGGACUUAAGGAGCAGGUAUCAGGCACAACUUCCUACCCAAGACACCUAGCCAUGCCACGCCCACAAGGGAAUUCAGCAGUGACCAACAUUGAACAUAAACGACAGCUUAAUUCAGUUAAAGUAAACAGAGCCGGCAAAUCCGGUGCCAGCCGCCGCGGCUACACCAGUGACUCAAAUUGACUAGCACCGACGUAAAGAGUGAUUAAAGAUAUAUUAAAAUAGGACUAAACUCAGAUUGAGCCGUGAAACACCCACCUAAGAGGAAACCUAAACACGAAAGUUGUCCUACUUAACUCAACUUGAACACACGAAAGCAGGAACACAAACUAGGAUUAGAUACCCUAUUAUGCCUCGCCCUAAACUUUAACUUACACACCAAUCGUCAGGGAACUACGAGCAAAGCUUAAAACCCGAAGGACUUGACGGUACCCCAUAUCCCCCUAGAGGAGCCUGUCCUAUAAUCGAUAAUCCCCGCUUAACCUCACCACAUUUGGCCAAUCAGCCUGUAUACUUCCGUCGCCAGCCUACCACGUGAGCGAAGCUUAGUUAGCCCAACGUCCACACAUCAACGUGCUCAGAUCGUCAACACGUCAGGUCAAAGUGCAGCAAAUAAUGUGGAAAGAGAUGGGCUACACUUUUUAACAUAAAAUAAACGAAUGACAAAAUGAAACUUUGUCGGAAGGUGGAUUUAGCAGUAAAAGAAAAGUAUUAAAUUUCUUUUAACCCAGCACUGGGGUGUGUACACACCGCCCGUCACCCUCCUCAAGAACCACAGUAUAGUUUUUAACAAUAGUCAUAAGUAGAGAGGAGGCAAGUCGUAACAUGGUAAGCGUACCGGAAGGUGUGCUUGGAAA
rnacentral:ncRNA from 1 species